rnacentral:piRNA from 1 species
UGUUAAAGUAACUGUCUGAUUGGC